AUUCCAGCACCCUCCUCUAACUCCAGGCCAGACUCCUUUCAGUUAGUGGGGAGCUCUAGAUGGCACCUACUUUGUUUCACUAUUCCCUAGUGCCCAUGGAUGACUUUCUGAAGCAUGAGAGCAAGGAGCGCUGUAAGCUUCCAGUGGGGACAGGAGUUGUGGUGCUCCUGGUCAUAGUGGCUGUGGCUCUGGGGGUGCUCCUGAUUGUCUAUGUCAAAAAGGCCAACAGCGAGGCCUGCCAAGAGGGCCACCGGGCAGUGAUGGAGUGUCGAAAUGUCACCCAUCUCCUGGAACAAGAGCUGACCCGGGCCCAGGAUGGCUUCCGGGAUGCUGAGGCCCAGAUCGCCACCUACAACCAGACUGUGAUGACCCUAAUGGCUUCCCUGGAUAAGGAGAAGGCUCAUUCCCUGGAUGCGGAGAAGAAAGUGGAGGAGCUUGAGGGAGAGAUCACCACAUUGAACCAGAAGCUUCAGGACGCCUCUAUGGAGGUGGAGCGACUGAGGUCAGAGAUAACCUCUCCCUCUGCUGCCCUCCACCCGCCACAGCCCUCUCAGCCCCGCGUUCCUACCCGGGGACCGAGGAUCUCCUUGGCUCCCAAAAUCCCCAUUGCCCCAGGGGGAGGAAAAACCAGGACUUAAGCGCGAGAAUCGCGGACCAGAAGAACUCCGCCAGCUCCCUGAAGGACACCAGCUCCGCGGCGGCGCCUCUGCUCCUGAUUCUGCUGCUGGGCCUCAGCGCUCGGCUCCUCUGAGAUCCCGGGAAGCCGGCGCAGCUUCGAAGGGCCGGUUCCCGCUCAGCUUUUCGCUUGGACAAUCCCGUGAUCUCAUCGGUUCUGGGAGGGUCAUGGGGCAGCAGGUCUGGAGGGGCCAUGGGGCAGUGCUGGGUGUAGGGACCCAGAGUUGCCUCCCUCCAGAGCCGGGCAGGGAAUGAUUGUCUCCUCUUGUCUCCCGCCCUGAGUUUGGGCAUGGGGUGCCGUAGGGUGGCAACUGCUGCCUGGUACGGUUUUUUUUUGGGGGGGGUGCUUUUUUCUGGAGUCUUUGAGCUUCAAAAAUAAACGCUUCCUUUCGGGGGGGGGCACACCUUA